AGUAAUUACGGAUUGCUAUUUUCAAUUCUAAGUAAUAAAGAAUAUAAGGUUACAAUUCAUCACCUGAAAAAACAUAUCUUUGUAGUCAUAGUAAUGUCUUCUCCAACUGACCAUACCCUUAAGCAUUUGAUGAAAGUGGAUAUAUCAUCAAGAGCCCUGCAAGCAAAUUUAUCUACAAUAGGAAACACACGAUGAUGAAAUAUCAGAUAUUCCAAAUCACUAUAUGAAAUGUUUAAUGUUUACUUCCCCUUGUAACGUUAGCUUAUCUAGCAAAUUUCUGUUAUUCUGUACAUCUGAUUGUUAAAUUUCAAAUAGUACAGGAACCAGAUAUCCAGAUAUAAUUAGAGUAGGGAUCGACACUAACUAAACCUCUUGACACGCUCAUUUGAAAGUCAAGUAUAUUUAUGUAGCAACGCCUUAUUACUCCUACAGAAGAUACCACUACUGCUGCUCAUAGAAGAGAUAUUACGCCAUCAGUUGAGUUUAGCUCAAUCUGCAGUUUUCAUUACAAUGCAUGAAUCUUAUUUAUCUUGCUUCAAAUGAACAAACAAGAGAGGAUGAAGUACCCAUCUUCCAGUCAUCUGGCAAGCAACAGUCCAGUGCAUAUUGCAGACCUUCUUAGCAAUCAUCAUCGAGUGCCAUUGUAUCUUGAUUAACACAAUUGUACAGGGAUCUUGAAUAGCACAUCAAACAGAGGCACGCCUAAUUGAAAUUACAUUGGUACAUUAGUGCACGGUAAACUGCACAGUACGAAUUAAAAUUUAAGUGCAAAGAUAGGAUAAUCCAGAGUAGACACGUAAUAAUGUCUAAGAACUAAGAUCAAAUGAGAAUUAAACCUGACGGACAAUACAACAAUGAAAAUUCAUUUCACAAUAACAUAGCUCAUACCAGUGGAGGCAUCGAACUGUGCCCAUAUAUUUUUGCGCAUCCACGCCCGCUCCUUGUUGUCUUGUUGCGGGCAUCCGCGCUGGGUCGCCCGCGAGCAUGCUGAGCUCGAGCGCAUCCUUCGGCACUUCAGCCAGCGGAUUCGAAGAAGGACGGGGAAGAACAGGGGCGUGGAAGUCUCGCACCUCCAACGGAGCCUAGCGCUGGGAUGCUCCCGUGCAUGCCGAGCUCGGGGACCUCCUCGGCCACUUGGGC
rnacentral:lncRNA from 1 species